GUGGUGGUAGCUCAACUGGACGAGCGCCCUUUUCGCAAAGGGGAGGAUGGGGGUUCGACUCCCCCGCACCCUU
rnacentral:tRNA from 1 species